UCAUGUGUGCUCUGCGUCUGAGAGAAAGAAGAAAAGUGGGGGUUAGAGAAGUGCGGUUGUCCGUUUCCUGCUUUCAGUUGAUGUGUGCGCAGAACAGAGAAGAGAAACUUCCUUGAAUAGAGAGCUUAACAUUCUGACAGCGCAGAGAGGACACAUUUCAACAAGUGCUGCACACAUGAGUUCAAGAUAAACUGGGAGAUUUAUGACAAGGACCAUGAGCCGUGGAUCUAAAACUAAAACAGAGAGCGCGUGGAGCUCUCUGCUAAGCCCACAGGAGAAUGAGAAGUUGGAGGAGCUGCUGGGCAGAAGAUGUAUUUCCGUGGCCACUGCAGUAGCACAGCUGUUUAUGGCUCUGCCUCACAGCCCGUCCAUGUGGAGCUUGCAGCACACUGGAGUGGUAUGCUUCAUCAAGGACAACCCUCAGCGCUCCUACUUCAUACGCAUGUUUGAUUUGAAGACGAGCAGGCAGGUUUGGGAGCAGGAGCUCUACAACCAGAUAGUCUACUCCUCGCCUCAGUCCUACUUCCACACCUUCGCUGCGGAUGACUGUCAGGUCGGACUGAGCUUUGCUGAGCAACAGGAAGCAGAAGCCUUCCAAAAUGCUGUCGAGGAGAAAAUCUACCAGAGGAACAACCGCCCAGAUAAGAAGCAGCGCCCCCCGCCGCCGAGUGACCGAGGUUCCCUGGCUCCAGUCCCGCAAGAAAAAGCUUCACCUGGCAGCCCCGGUUCUCUUCACAUUGCCACAGUGGACAUCCAAAACCCAGAUAUCCAUGCUUCACGCUACCGCUCCGUCCCUCCACCCGCUGCGUCCUCACUUCUGAGCGGGAGAGGAAAGAAGGACAAAAAGAAAGGGAAAAAGGGCCCUAAGUUCUCCAAAGCAGACAUAGGGGCACCCAGUGGAUUUAAGCACGUUGGUCAUGUGGGCUUUGAUCUCAACAACCUGGACCCUGAUCUGUGGAACCUGCUCUCCCAAGCUGGGAUCGGUGAAGAUGAGCUGAAGGAUGAGAAGACCUCCCAGCUCAUCUAUAAUGUCAUCGAGCAGUCCGGUGGCAUGGAGGCAGUCAAAAAGGAGGCGCACAGAGCUUGUUUUCUUCCAUUGCAUCCUAGCCCCUCCUCCACCUGGCAGACAAGGGCCUCUGCCCGCUGUGCCAGGCUCCAAUCCCUCUGCUCCGGCCCCUCCACCCCCAAGAGGCCGCUCUGGCCCCCUGCCUCCAAUCCCAGGCCAGUCCCCGCGAGGAAUGCCGUCCCCGCAAUCGCCUCCUACACGCGGAGGCCUGCCACCCCCACCUCCGCCGACAAGCAGAGGUGGUCCUCCCCCGCCGCCGCCCCCAGCACACUCUGCAUCUUCUCACUUGUCCUCGCCGUCCUCGAGGCCCUCUCCCGUCUCACCCUCCAUCUCCUCCCACAACCUGCCUCCACCCCCGCCACCGUCCGGCCCACAGCGGUCCGUGGGUUUCCCACCUCCGGUCCCAUCUACACCCGGCAGAGGAGGCCCUCCACCUCCCCCUCCUCCACCGCCUCCACCUUCCCAAACCCCUGUGUCUUCAAAUUUCCCAGCUCCUCCUCGUCUUUCCGGUGGCCCACCCCCGCCCCCCCCUGCAUCUGAAGGAGUGGGAGAAAGCAGAGGAGCUCUGCUGGAUCAGAUCCGUUUGGGGAAGAAGCUCAGAAAUGUGAUAGACAGUCCUGAUGCAGCUCCACCCACGCCACCAGAGUCAGGCGAGGGCAUCGUUGGUGCCCUCAUGAUGGUCAUGCAGAAGAGGAGUAAAGCCAUCCAUUCCUCUGAUGAAAGUGAAGAUGAGGGUGGAGAUGAAGACGACGAUGACGAUGAGUGGGAUGACUGAAGUUCUUGUUUGUGUGGAUUUAGUUCAACUGUGAUUUUGGUCGUAAACCUCAGAAUUGCAAUACUGGUACAUUGGUUUUGUUUUUUACGUUCAAUAAUUAAUAAUAAAACUGGAAUAUGA